rnacentral:rRNA from 1 species
UACGAAGGGUGCAAGCGUUACUCGGAAUUACUGGGCGUAAAGCGUGCGUAGGUGGUGCGUUAAGUCUGUCGUGAAAGCCCCGGGCUCAACCUGGGAAUGGCGAUGGAUACUGGCUCGCUAGAGUGCGGUAGAGGAGAGUGGAAUUCCCGGUGUAGCAGUGAAAUGCGUAGAGAUCGGGAGGAACAUCAGUUGCGAAGGCGGCUCUCUGGACCAGCACUGACACUGAGGCACGAAAGCGUGGGUAGCAAACAGG